rnacentral:misc_RNA from 1 species
GAUGAAGAACGUAGCGAAAUGCGAUAAGUAAUGUGAAUUGCAGAAUUCAGUGAAUCAUCGAAUCUUUGAACGCACAUUGCGCCCGCCAGUAUUCUGGCGGGCAUGCCUGUCUGAGCGUCAUUUCAACCCUCAUGCCCCUAGGGCGUGGUGUUGGGGAUCGGCCAAAGCCCGCGAGGGACGGCCGGCCCCUAAAUCUAGUGGCGGACCCGUCGUGGCCUCCUCUGCGAAGUAGUGAUAUUCCGCAUCGGAGAGCGAUGAGCCCCUGCCGUUAAACCCCCAACUUUCCAAGGUUGACCUCAGAUCAGGUAAGAAUACCCGCUGAACUUAAGCAUAUCAAUAAGCGGAGGA